UACGGGGGGAGCAAGCGUUGUUCGGAUUUACUGGGCGUAAAGGGCGCGUAGGCGGCCUCUGCAAGUCGACUGUGAAAUCUCCGGGCUUAACCCGGAAAGGUCAGCCGAUACUGCAGGGCUAGAGUGCAGAAGGGGCAACUGGAAUUCUCGGUGUAGCGGUGAAAUGCGCAGAUAUCAGGAGGAACACCGGUGGCGAAGGCGGGUCUCUGGGCCGUAACUGACGCUGAGGAGCGAAAGCAUGGGGAGCGAACAGG
rnacentral:rRNA from 1 species